AUUGCUAUGUUUGUUGGCUGAGUUAGCUUCUUCUUCUCUCAAAGUUAAUGUUAUACCAAAAAAAUUUCUUCAAAUGAAUCUGUCAAAUUCACUCACCUAUUAUUAAUAUUAUUAUUAUCAUCAUCAUCCCUUCCAUUUUUUCCUAUUAUUUAGAAACUUCAAGAAACCUGAUUAAUCUUUUAAUUAUUAGAGGAGAGAUUUAAUUUGCAAGGAAUCAGAAAAAGAUGGGGC
rnacentral:lncRNA from 1 species